rnacentral:piRNA from 1 species
UACAGGAAGUUCUGCUGGCUGGAGUGGU